rnacentral:rRNA from 1 species
CCUACGGGUGGCAGCAGUGAGGAAUAUUGGUCAAUGGACGAGAGUCUGAACCAGCCAAGUAGCGUGAAGGAUGACUGCCCUAUGGGUUGUAAACUUCUUUUAUAUGGGAAUAAAAUGUUCCACGUGUGGGAUUUUGUAUGUACCAUAUGAAUAAGGAUCGGCUAACUCCGUGCCAGCAGCCGCGGUAAUAAGGAGGAUCCGGGCGUUAUCCGGAUUUAUUGGGUGUAAAGGGAGCGUAGGUGGAUUGUUAAGUCAGUUGUGAAAGUUUGGGGCUCAACCGUAAAAUUGCAGUUGAAACUGGCAGUCGUGAGUACAGUAGAGGUGGGCGGAAUUCGUGGUGUAGCGGUGAAAUGCUUAGAGAUCACGAAGAACUCCGAUGGCGAAGGCAGUGCACUGGACUGCAACUGACACUGAGGCGCGAAAGUGUGGGUAUCAAACAGGAUUAGAUACCCCUGUAGUC